CUAGAGCGAAACUGGCUCAAGAACUCACAACCUAUCGAUUGUCACGUACUGCGCAGACGGAGGGUCUGUAGCUCAGUCGGUUAGAGCAUCGUCUUGAUAAGGCGGGGGUCGUUGGUUCGAUUCCAACCAGACCCACCAGGACAUCGGGGGAUUAGCUCAGCUGGGAGAGCACCUGCUUUGCAAGCAGGGGGUCGUCGGUUCGAUCCCGUCAUCCUCCACCACCGACCCAUAAGCGGUUAGGUUUGACGAGUCAAAGACUCAUUAAACCUAACUCCUGAUGGAGUUUAGGUUUGUACGCUCUUUAACAAAAUGGAAGAAGGUUGUAUCGCUGGUAGCCGACAAGCUAAAAACCAGCGAUACGGUUGUGAUUGCAUCGACCUCUUGCGGAGAGCAAGGGGUCGCACAAAUGAGUUGCCUGUAACGUACAGAUCUCGCAAGAGAGCUUAAAGUUAUAG
rnacentral:tRNA from 1 species